GAUGUGGUCCGGCCCCAGCUGCCAUGUGUUGUGGACAUCUUUUCAAGUCUGCAAAGCACAAGCACUUGCUCGACAUAGGAGUGAAAAUGGACUUCUGUAAAGUUGGUGCAAAGUUCUAAUGCAUUCAACAAUAUGGCAAAGAAUGGAUUACAUACAACAAACGUACGACAUGAUGACUGUGACUGGUCUGUGUGUGGUGGAUUUGCUGAUCGGCAGUGUCGUGGGAACACCUCUACCAUAUCAGGAACAGAAGGCUGAGGAAGUACGUGGCCAGACACCAGUCCCACUUCAGACGGAGGACAGGAGAGAUGGUUUGUCAUGGAGUCCCCUGACUAAAAGACAGGUUUAUACAGAUGUCUGGGAGAGAGUGGAGUGUUUCUGAGAGGAUUGUUUCUGUCUUUAAAAAAUGUAUUAUGAUUGACUGGGCCUGGCUCCCAAGUGUGUGGGCCCCUGCCCAGUCAUGAGAAAUCCAUAGAUUCGGGCCUAAUGAAUUUAUUUAAAUUGACUGAUUUCCUUAUAUGAACUGUAACUGUGUAAAAUCGUUGAAAUUGUUGCAUGUUGCGUUUAUAUUUUUGUUCAGUAUACAUUGAACACAUGGUUUCCAUGUGUUUGGUGAAAUUCCAAUCACCACAUUUUGGCCAUUAUUAUGAGCUGUUCUCCCCUCAGCAGCCUCCUGUGUUGUGCAAUGUCCACAUGUAGCCUACACUAUAUUAGGGAAAGAUCUAACAGUGGACAUAAGGAGAGACGAGACAAAUCAAGCCAGUUAUAGAAAACUGUGUUGACAGCUGAAGACCAGAUAAUCAACUGGCAGUUGUUGGUAUCGAUUCACAGUAACGUGAUCAUGUGAUUACAUGACGUGACAAAACUUCAAGUUGGAAGCUACUUUUUUAGCAAGGUGUUGUAGGAUGUGUGUCUCAUGACACACAUUCCAGACACUGGUACUUCUUGCUAUCUUGCUAUAGCUGUGAUUUGUCAGAGAAAUAUCAGCUAGCUAGAUAGGCUAGCCAGCUGUAGCUAUCCCCAAGCUAUACUAGCUAGCUAGCUAGCUAGCUUCUGUCAGAUUGGCUAAACACAAGGUUUAGCGCAGGCUUUAGCCUACACAUAGAACUGAAUCAGCAGAUCAUCUUGAGAUGGCGGGUCACUCAGGAGGGGACAAGUCUUCAACUUCAGAACUUCUAUCCAUAGCAAAGCUAGCUCAGCUUUCCUCACUGUAACUAAGUUACUCACUACUUGUUUGUUUGUUGUAAUUGAAUGGCAAAGACACACCCAAGAAACACCCAAAUUAAACCACACCCCAAAGACAACUCUUGUUUAGGAUUCAAUUAUGGCCGCUGCAUUUCUUAAUGAGCACCGGAAGAAACACAUGCAGUUCACCUUUAAUGCCUCAUGAUGCAAGAGGCAGACUGUGACUCAAUGAAAAUUCCUAGUAAAUCUGGCAAUCAGUUAAACCAUAAAAGUUAACGAUUUUCCCCAUGAUAUAUCACAUUCUAUCUGUAUCGAGUGAACUUUUAGCUGUUUUAUGUAGCAAUCUGCAGUUGCUACAUC